rnacentral:rRNA from 2 species
UGAUUUAAAUAAUUAUUGUUAUUUAUUGUAUUUUUAAUUAUUUAAUAGAAGUAACUUUAUUGUUUAUAUGUCUUAGUAUAUUUUAUUAAAUUGAUUAUUUAUAUUAUAGUUUAUUAGUAGGGUAAUUGGAUUUUGAAAAAUCUAUUGAAGUUAUUAAAAGUAGAUUUUUUUUGUUGUACCUUUUGUAUCAGGGUUUAUUAAAAUUUAAUUAUUUAUUUAUUUUUCUCGAUUUAGGUUGAUUUAUAGUUAACUGUAAGUUAAUGUUAUAUAAUUAUUUAUAAGUUAAUUAUGGUAAUGAAAUGUUAUUCGUUUCCUAAGAUAUCUAGUUUCCUAAGAAAAAAAUUUAAUUUUUUAGAGUUGUUGUUUUUGUUUAAUUUUUUAAUAUGAAAUAUUAACUUAUUUAUUCUUUAAGGGAUAAGCUUUGAAGUGAUUUCCUAUAAUUUAUUAAUUUUUUUAUUUAAUAGUAGGCUUUAAAUCAGCUAUCAUUUAGAUUACGUUUUAGUUCAUUAUUUAAAAUUUAAUUUUAUAAUUAUUUUAGGGGGAAGGGCUAUUAGGAUAAAACAUUAAAUUUUAAAAUUUUUGUAAUAAUGAUUUAAUUAGUAUGUUCAUUUUGUUUAUAUUAUUUUUUUAUUAAUUUAUUAUAAGGAAUUAGGCAAUAAUUAAUUUCCGCCUGUUUAUCAAAAACAUGUCUUCUUGAUAAUGAUAUGAAGUCUGUCCUGCUCACUGAAUAUUUAAAGAGCCGCGGUAUUUUGACCGUGCAAAGGUAGCAUAAUCAUUAGUUUCUUAAUUAGAGGCUGGUAUGAAUGGUUUGACGAGAAAUUAACUGUCUCUUAAUAAAUGGUAGAAUUUAACUUUUUAGUCAAAAGGCUAAAAUUUUUCUUUAGGACGAGAAGACCCUAUAGAGCUUUAUAUAUUAUUUAGAUAUGUUUUUGGGUUAAGUAUAUUGUAUAUUUGAUGUUUAUGUUUUGUUGGGGUGACAUGAAGAACAAAAAAACUCUUCAUUAUUAAAUCAUUAAUUUAUGUUUUUGAUCCAUAAUUUAUGAUCAUAAGAUUAAGUUACCUUAGGGAUAACAGCGUAAUUAUUCUUGAGAGUUCAUAUCUACAGAAUAGAUUGCGACCUCGAUGUUGGAUUAAGAGAAAUUUUGGGUGCAGAGGCUCAUUAAUUAGGUCUGUUCGACCUUUAAAUUCUUACAUGAUCUGAGUUCAGACCGGCGUAAGCCAGGUCGGUUUCUAUCCUAAGACACUAUUUUAUAACAUUAGUACGAGAGGACCAUGUUGUAGAAAUAAUUUUUAUUUUAUUGAUUAAGUUUAAU